GUCUCAUUUCUGCAGGCGUCUCCGGCACACUCCACGUUCGUCCCGCGGGCCGGGACAACUGGCGCCCAACGUGGGGCCCUGGGACUCCUGCUGAAACGUCUGCUCGGAAGCCCUGGCCAGGCAUUCAUUUGAGUCAUCGCACAGGUAUUGACCUGAUGUGGACUCUGCGUUGAGGAUCACUGCGGAUCACCUGUCCAUAAUACAGAUCCCGGAGAGUCCCUGUGCCUGGAUGUACCCCCUGGCUGCAGCUGCUGUUUGAUGCUCUGAAUUCCCUACCUGUUCAGCUACUGGCCACCUGUGGAAUGGCUCUGUCAUUCCCAGUGGCAACUAGUUAAUCCAGAGUUGCUGAAGUGUGAUAUUCUACUUUUGAUGUUGAAAAAAAUUACUGUGAACCCAAAAUAUAUAUCCAUGAACUCUACUAUGAGCUAAGCCAGAAGUCCUAAGUCCUCUUGAUAUAAAGCCAAUCAAUUAGGAAGCAACUAAACUGUGGAAAGGAUCCCUUUGUAUGUGCAAAAACAAGCAACUACCAAAGCAGCCCAGAAGGUAAGCUAGCCACUGUUUCUAGAAGCUGCUCGUUGCAUCUGCUUCCUAGACUCUGUCCAUUGGCUUUUGUAACAGAACCUGCUUGGGUUCUCACUUCUGCUUUGAGUUCUUA